UACGGAGGGGGCCAGCGUUGUUCGGAAUUAUUGGGCGUAAAGGGCGCGCAGGCGGUUAUGCAAGUCAGUUGUGAAAUCCCCUGGCUUACCCAGGGAACUGCUUCUGAAACUGCAUGACUUGAGUCCGGGAGAGGAGAGUGGAAUUCCCAGUGGAGCGGUGGAAUGCGUAGAUAUUGGGAGGAACACCAGUGGCGAAGGCGGCUCUCUGGACCGGUACUGACGCUGAGGCGCGAAAGCUAGGGGAGCAAACAGGAUUAGAUACCCCCGUA
rnacentral:rRNA from 1 species